AUGGCGGAGAACCCGCAGCUGUUCGGGAACGGGAUGCCCGUGCCCUUCCACGGCGAGAUGUUCGUCCUCGCCCGCGACGGCGUCGAGUUCCACGUCGACAAGAUCCCCUCGGCGCCCGGCGGUCACGCAAAAACAAAGGGCACCAUAUACCUGUCUAACAUAAGGAUGGUGUUUGUCGCCGCCAAGCCUGUUGGGAACUUCUUUGCCUUUGAUAUGCCCCUGCUGUACGUGCACGGUGAGAAGUUCAACCAACCGAUAUUUCACUGCAACAAUAUUUCUGGAUUCGUUGAGCCGGUUGUUCCAGAGAGCCAGAACAGGGCUCUGUACUCGACCCACACCUUCAAGAUCUUGUUCAAGGAAGGUGGAUGUGGUACCUUUGUGCCACUCUUCCUGAACCUGAUAACAUCAGUGCGGCGCUACAAUCAGUUUGAAGCCCAGCCUGCUACUGUGCCCCGUGUGGACCCCAUGCAGGCAGCGCAAACUCCUGUCGACGACAUGAUGCGCCAUGCGUAUGUCGAUCCACAUGAUCCUACCAAGAUCUUCCUCCAGCAGCCCGCACCGGAAUCCCAGCUGAGGAGGAGAAACUACCACGGCCCCGCGGACAACGCGUACUGA
rnacentral:rRNA from 1 species